rnacentral:rRNA from 1 species
GAAUUUGAUCAUGGCUCAGGAUGAACGCUAGCGGCAGGCUUAACACAUGCAAGUCGAGGGGCAGCGCGGGUAGCAAUAUCUGGCGGCGACCGGCAAACGGGUGCGGAACACGUACGCAAUCUACCUUGGUCUGGGGCAUAGCCCGGUGAAAACCGGAUUAACACCCCAUAGUAUAAUGGGAGGGCAUCUUUCUGUUAUUAAAAAUUUAUUGGAUCAAGAUGAGCGUGCGUCCCAUUAGCUAGUUGGUAGGGUAACGGCCUACCAAGGCGACGAUGGGUAGCUGAUGUGAGAGCAUGAUCAGCCACACGGGCACUGAGACACGGGCCCGACUCCUACGGGAGGCAGCAGUGAGGAAUAUUGGUCAAUGGACGCAAGUCUGAACCAGCCAUGCCGCGUGAAGGAUGAAGGCGUUCUGCGUUGUAACUUCUUUAUUGGGAGAACCUCUUUUUCUAAGGAGCCGACGGUACCCAACGAAUAAGCACCGGCUAACUCCGUGCCAGCCGCCGCCGU